AGCGAACGCUGGCGGCAGGCCUAACACAUGCAAGUCGAACGGAUCCUUCGGGAUUAGUGGCGGACGGGUGAGUAACACGUGGGAACGUGCCCUUUGGUUCGGAACAACUCAGGGAAACUUGAGCUAAUACCGGAUGUGCCCUUCGGGGGAAAGAUUUAUCGCCAUUGGAGCGGCCCGCGUCUGAUUAGCUAGUUGGUGAGGUAAAGGCUCACCAAGGCGACGAUCAGUAGCUGGUCUGAGAGGAUGAUCAGCCACAUUGGGACUGAGACACGGCCCAAACUCCAACGGGAGGCAGCAGUGGGGAAUCUUGCGGAAUGGGCGAAAGCCUGACGCAGCCAUGCCGCGUGAAUGAUGAAGGUCUUAGGAUUGUAAAAUUCUUUCACCGGGGACGAUAAUGACGGUACCCGGAGAAGAAGCCCCGGCUAACUUCGUGCCAGCCGCCGCUGUAACAC
rnacentral:rRNA from 1 species